UCUACGGGUGGCAGCAGUGAGGAAUAUUGGUCAAUGGGCGCUAGCCUGAACCAGCCAAGUAGCGUGAAGGAUGACUGCCCUAUGGGUUGUAAACUUCUUUUAUCUAGGGAUAAAGUCCAGUAUGUAUACUGCUUUGCAUGUACCUUAUGAAUAAGGAUCGGCUAACUCCGUGCCAGCAGCCGCGGUAAUACGGAGGAUCCGAGCGUUAUCCGGAUUUAUUGGGUUUAAAGGGAGCGUAGGCGGGUUGUUAAGUCAGUGGUGAAAGGGUGCGGCUCAACCGGAAAAUUGCAGUUGAUACUGGCAGCUUUGAGUACAGGAGAGGUAGGCGGAAUGCGUGGUGUAGCGGUGAAAUGCUUAGAUAUCACGAAGAACUCCGAUUGCGAAGGCAGCCUGCUGGACUGUAACUGACGCUGAGGCUCGAAAGCGUGGGUAUCAAACAGGAUUAGAUACCCGUGUAGUU
rnacentral:rRNA from 1 species